GGGCGAAUGGCUCAGGUGGUUAGAGCGCCGGUUUCACAUACCGGAGAUCAGAGGUUCAAGUCCUCUUUCGCCCA
rnacentral:tRNA from 1 species